rnacentral:rRNA from 1 species
UUGCCUUAGUAACGGCGAGUGAAGCGGCAAAAGCUCAGAUUUGAAAUCUGACGUCAUUUUGGCGUUCGAGUUGUAAUCUGUAGAGAAGUAUUCGGGUGUAGAUUUGGCUUAAGUUCCUUGGAACAGGACGUCACAGAGGGUGAGAACCCCGUUUCGGCCUUUGUCUUAUACUCAUGUGAAUCUUCUUCAACGAGUCGAGUUGUUUG